GUGCCAGCAGCCGCGGUAAUACGUAGGGAGCAAGCGUUGUCCGGAAUCAUUGGGCGUAAAGCGCGCGUAGGCGGCCCCGUAAGUCCGCUGUGAAAGUCAAAGGCUCAACCUUUGAAAGCCGGUGGAUACUGUGGGGCUAGAGUCCGGAAGAGGCGAGUGGAAUUCCUGGUGUAGCGGUGGAAUGCGCAGAUAUCAGGAGGAACACCGAUAGCGAAGGCAGCUCGCUGGGACGGUACUGACGCUAAGGCGCGAAAGCGUGGGGAGCGAACAGGAUUAGAAACCCUUGUAGUCC
rnacentral:rRNA from 1 species